AAAGUGACAGGUGGUGCAUGGUUGUCGUCAGCUCGUGUCGUGAGAUGUUGGGUUAAGUCCCGCAACGAGCGCAACCCUUAUCUUUAGUUGCCAUCAUUAGGUUGGGCACUCUAGAGAGACUGCCGGUGACAAACCGGAGGAAGGUGGGGAUGACGUCAAAUCAUCAUGCCCCUUAUGAUUUGGGCUACACACGUGCUACAAUGGAUGGUACAAAGGGCAGCAAAACCGCGAGGUCAAGCAAAUCCCAUAAAACCAUUCUCAGUUCGGAUUGUAGUCUGCAACUCGACUACAUGAAGCUGGAAUCGCUAGUAAUCGUAGAUCAGCAUGCUACGGUGAAUACGUUCCCGGGUCUU
rnacentral:rRNA from 1 species